GGUGGUGGCAGGCUUUGUGGGCUUGCCAUGCUCCAUGUACAUAGGAACGAUACAGCUGACAAAGAACGUGUGUGUGUUGAAGCUUUUCAGAAUACAGGUCACAGGAGAAUCGGAGAGUUUUAGUAGACCAACAGAGAUUAACUUUAAUAUUGAAACUUGUUUUGUUACUUUUGUUAGGCUAGCUAAUAAAAACAAAACACA
rnacentral:lncRNA from 1 species